rnacentral:rRNA from 2 species
ACAAUAGGCCGUCAGUGGGACAUCAUAGAGGGUGACAAUCCCGUCCUUGACGCCAAUGUGCAAGUCUAUUACGAUGGCUAUCUCAGAGAGUCGAGCAGUUUGGGAUUUGCUGCUUAAACAUGGGAGGUAGAUUCCUUCUAAAGCUAAAUACAGGCGAGAGACCGAUAGAGAACAAGUACCGCAAGGGAAAGAUGAAAUAGCACUCUGUGAAGGGAGUCAAAAGGCGUGAAAUUGUUGCGAGAGAAGCGAUUCAAGUCAGCGUAGCUAGGCCCAUCAAGCGUCUUCGCUUUGGACUAGCUUUGCCAGCGGUCUUGUCCCUUAAAGAGACUUGACUUGUAAUAUGUCCAGCCUGGCGUGCACAGGCAGCCCCUUCUGGGGGCCAGUGGCAUGGCUGGUGGAAUGGCUUGCAAUCGACCCGUCUUGAAACACGGACCAAGGAGUCUAACAUGUAUGCGAGUAUAAGGGUGGCAAACCCGUAUGCGCAAUGAAAGUGAUUUUCGGUGAUUGAGAAUGGCCUGAUGACCAGACAAGCAAUAUAUGUCCCUCGUACGGCCAUUGCCCAAGUUCCGUGGUAGAUCCCACGAACAUGGAGUUGGAGCAUACAUGCUAGGACCCGAAAGAUGGUGAACUAUGCCUGGACAAAGCGAAGCCAAAGGAAACUCUGGUGGAGGCUUGUAGCGAUUCUGACGUGCAAAUCGAUCGUCUGAUCUGGGUAUA